ACUGUGCAGUUCAUUUGAGCACCCUGGCUUACGGUCAGGUUUACGUGGGAAACUGACUGCAAAUACUCUUCUGUAAGAACUGACCCUCAAAACACUUCAGCACAACCUACGGUGAUGAGCAGGGAAUAAGCAAGAAACCCUAAUAACAUAGGAUGGAGGAUCUGAAGAGAUAUUGCAGGGGAUAUCUUGAUACAAACAGUAAGUCAGGCAGAUCCAGCGUUAAGGGGAGCAUGAAGAGCCUCACAACGAGCCUACAUGAGGCAGCGGUGCAAGCCUUGAGUGUGCAGUAAGGACCACACUUCCUAGCCACGCUCCAGGGAUAUCCAGGAGUCUAACGACAUUAAGCUUCGGUGACUUAGUACCUUAGCAGGCCUGUCUAAUACCUGCUGCCGUCUUGCAGACUGUCAAAGAUGGUCCCAGAGGGGCUGACAGGCUUCCUGUCGUUAGAACUGAAGAACGCCUGGAAACGCAGCAACAAAUUCUCCCCUCUGUUACACUAGGGGAAAAUCAGAGCAGCUCGGUGGAGUAGCCUGAGAGCAAAAUGUAGACGAUAAAGACUAAAUAUUUCAGGAUUGGCUACCGGUUUUUGGUUAGGCUUCUGUUUCCUUAUCAGUCUCAAGAACCCCCCUGUGAACACUUACUAGUUUAAGAAAUGAAAGUUUUGGAAGCAAUGACAACAGACAAGCUCAUCUGUCAACUAAAAUAACAAUGAUGAAAGUAUUUUGAAAUUUGCCUGCCUUUAUUGAAUUCCUGCAAAUAAAUUACUUGCUAGGAGUUGAGUUGUGUGUGAGUGGGCUUAUAAUUACUAAUUAAUCACAGCCAGCAAUUAGCAUGUCCCAUUUAGUGCAUUUCCUUCAUUUUGUGUUGUUUUUCAUGUUAUUCCAAAAAACUUUAGAAUUAAAAAAAAAAAAAAAAAGAAAGAAAGAAAAAAGCUGCUGAGUGGAAAAAAUAUGUCAUACCUGCUUGGAGCAUGGGUAAACUAGUAUUUAUACACGACUGGUGUGGCCACUCUCCAGCUGAAUGUCUGGACUGAUAGGAGGUUCUAAGCUGCACCACAGGAGCCAAAUGUGCACAGACUUUGCCGUGAACAGUGGUGCAGAGGGCAAAAGGACUGUGCCUCCUCUCCGGCAGGAAACGUGGAUGAGGAUAACCAGCUAAGCAGAAGGAAGCAGGAAUGUUGAGCGCAAGGAGGAAGAUGUAUCACAACCAAAAUGUUAAUCCAAAGAUUACGUCCUUGUAGGUGAUUUCUCUGCUCUGCCGUAAGUGUCACUUCAUUAGUACAAAAGUUAUUCUUUCUGAUGUUAUUCAUUUUUUAAAAGUAAUAAGGAAGAAAUGAUUACUUGAAUAGAAGGGAGAGAUGAAUUUUGCAAGACUGUUGCAGGCACAAAUAACAUCAGGGCACCACAAAUGCUUCAAUUUCACUGUACAGGAUUUACUGGAUAGAGUUGUAUUAUUUGAAUGAUCAAAGGAAACCUUUCAGUUGCUUUGAAUCAAAUUUUAAAGUUACCUUUUUGCCACUGGAAAUUUUGAGUUUUCAGCCUUUUUCCUCAAUGAAAGAAAACAGAUUUCAGUACGUCAGAAUUUCUCUCAGAAUGGAAACAUAGCUUUGCCUUUCCACUGAAGCCACCGAUCAAACUGUCAAGAUGGCUCAUCGCUUAGCGACCUUCCAGAGAACAUUUUUUCAAUCACAAAAAUGAUCAGAACAGUGCAAACCUUCCACGUGGUGGUACACUAGCUAUGGCAGUGCAAAGACCUGCUUUAUACUUUGAACUUCUUUAGGCCUCUGUGACCUGAUCUUUCCGUCAACAAAAUGGGAAUUAAAAUAGCUGCUUCUUCUAAAAGGACUAUGUCAUUGUGUCCUGUAUUUUACACAGUAUUUUACAAUUUCUACGGAGCUGUAUUGCCGAUCCCAUAGGUUUGCUUCCUUCGGCUUCUGGAAGCAGGGACGUCAGUUAAUCCAGGUGCAGUUAUGCAGAGGAUGUGAGUACUAGACCCGCUGAUGACCACAAGAGCAAAAAGAAAUUUUACCUCUUCAGUCAGUGAAGACUUCAUCAAUUAGUACGAGAGACAGAAAUACUAUCACUAAAACCAUGGAGGAAGUCCUGGAAUCUAGGUCCUGUGCAAGUCCCUGAGUCGGUGCCCAGGACUUCAGGAGACUUCAGAAGGCCUCCUACUCUGCUGGAGUGAGC